GACAGAGGGUGCAAACGUUGUUCGGAAUUACUGGGCGUAAAGCGUGCGCAGGCGGUUAUGUAAGACAGAUGUGAAAUGCCCGGGCUUAACCUGGGAACUGCAUUUGUGACUGCAUGGCUAGAGUUUGGCAGAGGGGGGUAGAAUUCCACGUGUAGCAGUGAAAUGCGUAGAUAUGUGGAGGAACACCGAUGGCGAAGGCAGCCCCCCUGGGUCAAGACUGACGCUCAUGCACGAAAGCGUGGGGAGCAAACAGG
rnacentral:rRNA from 1 species